rnacentral:rRNA from 1 species
AAACUCAAAUGAAUUGACGGGGACCCGCACAAGCGGUGGAUGAUGUGGUUUAAUUCGAUGCAACGCGAAAACCUUACCCACCUUUGACAUGGCAGGAAUCCUAAAGAGAUUUGGGAGUGCUCGAAAGAGAACCUGCACACAGGUGCUGCAUGGCUGUCGUCAGCUCGUGUCGUGAGAUGUUGGGUUAAGUCCCGCAACGAGCGCAACCCUUGCCAUUAGUUGCUACGAAAGGGCACUCUAAUGGGACUGCCGGUGACAAACCGGAGGAAGGUGGGGAUGACGUCAAGUCCUCAUGGCCCUUAUAGGUGGGGCUACACACGUCAUACAAUGGCCGGUACAGAGGGUAGCCAACCCGCGAGGGGGAGCCAAUCCCACAAAGCCGGUCGUAGUCCGGAUCGCAGUCUGCAACUCGACUGCGUGAAGUCGGAAUCGCUAGUAAUCGCGGAUCAGCAUGUCGCGGUGAAUACGUUCCCGGGUCUUGUACACACCGCCCGUCACACCAUGGGAGCGGGUUCUGCCAGAAGUAGUUAGCCUAACCGCAAGGAGGGCGAUUACCACGGCAGGGUUCGUGACUGGGGUGAAGUCGUAACAAGGUAGCCGUAUCGGAAGGUGCGGCUGGAUCACCUCCUUUCUG